rnacentral:rRNA from 1 species
UAAGAGAUGGUCCCGCGGUGCAUUAGUUAGUUGGUGAGGUAAUGGCUCACCAAGACGAUGAUGCAUAGCCGAGUUGAGAGACUGAUCGGCCACAAUGGGACUGAGACACGGCCCAUACUCCUACGGGAGGCAGCAGUAGGGAAUCUUCCACAAUGGGCGAAAGCCUGAUGGAGCAACGCCGCGUGUGUGAUGAAGGGUUUCGGCUCGUAAAACACUGUUGUAAGAGAAGAAUGACAUUGAGAGUAACUGUUCAAU